rnacentral:rRNA from 1 species
GAUGAACACUAGCGGCAGGCCUAAUACAUGCAAGUCGAGGGGCAGCGGGAGUAGCAAUACUUGCCGGCGACCGGCGCACGGGUGCGUAACACGUAUACAAUCUGCCCUUAACAGGGGGAUAGCCCGGAGAAAUCCGGAUUAAUACCCCAUAACACAAGAAACGGCAUCGUUUUCUGUUGAAAGUUCCGACGGUUAAGGAUGAGUAUGCGUCUGAUUAGUUAGUUGGUGAGGUAACGGCUCACCAAGACCACGAUCAGUAGGGGAUCUGAGAGGAUUAACCCCCACACGGAUACUGAGACACGGAUCCGACUCCUACGGGAGGCAGCAGUAAGGAAUAUUGGACAAUGCCCGCAAGGGUGAUCCAGCCAUGCCGCGUGCAGGAAGACGGCCCUAUGGGUUGUAAACUGCUUUUAUACAAGAGAAAACCCCCUUACGUGUAAGGGGCUGAUAGUAUUGUAAGAAUAAGCAUCGGCUAACUUCGUGCCAGCAGCCGCCGUAA